ACAGCAAAAAUUCAACCCAAUCCAGAAGGACUAAGUAACUAUACUCCUCACGGUAAAGCUGAUCAAAUAAUAUUAAAACAGAAUAAUACAUUAAUAAUACUAUUAUUAGAAGUUAAUAAAAAGCUAGAUAAAAUUAUAAAGGAAAAAGAACUUAAGACUGAGAUCCCAAAGGUAGACGAUUUAAUAGAACAAUUAAAAAGAGUUGAAAUAACACCACACAAAGAAAAAACAAAAGUAAGAAAACCACAAAAAUUGACUUUUUUCCAAGUGGGUCAAGAAGAACAAUUCAAGAAAGAUCAAGAAUAAGUUUUUCAGAAAAUAGAAUAGGAAACAAU
rnacentral:lncRNA from 1 species